CUCCGAGGUUCGGUGCUCGAUCAAUGAGAGAAGCAACCACGAUGAUACCCGCAUCGGUGUUCCGUGUAAUUUUCCGUGCGAGUGCAGCUUUCGAGACUUCCGAGAGUUCGUCGGUAAACGGUGUCAUCGAUUUCCAAGUAUUUACCGGCUGAUUUCGGGGGUCGUUUGAGAAAUUUAAUUCUUUUCCAUUUGGGAGAGCAUUCCUGCGGGAUUGGAUAAUUGUGACCAUGGACAAACUGCCAUAUAGAGGCUUUGAUCCACUCGUCCGGCGGUAAGCCCGUUAAGCGUGGCAGAUGCUCAUAAAUGAACUAAAAAUUUGUCCAAACUUGAGUAACAAAUGUUGUCGAGCCUUGCGAGACGGUUUGAAUAAAUAAAAAUACCUCUAAAUUGUA